ACACACACACACACACACACACACACACACUCCGUCAGAUCUCUAACAUGUCGUGUGUUUUUAUGCAGAUAUUUUCUCAGUAAUGAAGCUGGAUUCAGUCACAGGCACCUGUACAGGGUCAGCACGGUGGAGCCGUUCCAUCGCGAGUGCUUGAGCUGUUCUGUGUUUAAACCUCACUGUUCAUUCUAUGAAGCUUCAGUGAGUCCAGACAGA